rnacentral:rRNA from 1 species
GCUGGAAUUACGAGCCCAAACUUAAACCCAAGACUGACGGUGUCCCAUCCCCCUAGAGGAGCCUGUUCUAUAAUCGAUUCUCCCCGAUCCACCUCACCGCCCCUUGAACACCCAGUCUGUAUACCUCCGUCGCAAGCUUACCAUGUGAGCGCUUAAUUAGUGAGCCCAAAAAUCUAACACUCACACGUCAGGUCAAGGUGCAGCCCACGGGGCGGAAAGAAAUGGGCUACAAUCUCUACCCUAGAACAAACGGAAACCUGUAUGCAAUACAGUUACUAAGGCGGAUUUAGAAGUAAAAAGAAAUUAGAGAGUUCUUUUUAAUUGGGCCCUGGGACGCGUACACACCGCCCGUCACCCUCUUCAAAUUU